CGGAGCGAAUCUCAAAAAGACCGUCCCAGUUCGGAUUGCAGGCUGCAACCCGCCUGCAUGAAGUUGGAAUCGCUAGUAAUCGCGGAUCAGCAUGCCGCGGUGAAUACGUUCCCGGGCCUUGUACACACCGCCCGUCACACCAUGAGAGUCGGGAACACCCGAAGUCCGUAGCCUAACCGCAAGGGGGGCGCGGCCGAAGGUGGGUUCGAUAAUUGGGGUGAAGUCGUAACAAGGUACC
rnacentral:rRNA from 1 species